GUCGAGGGGCAGCGGAUUGAAGCUUGCUUCAAUGCCGGCGACCGGCGCACGGGUGAGUAACGCGUAUCCACCUUCCGCAUACUCGGGGAUAGCCUCCUGAAAAGGAGAUUAAUACCCGAUGGUAUUGCAUUAAUAAAGAAUUUCGGUAUGCGAUGGGGAUGCGUUCCAUUAGGUAGUAGGCGGGGUAACGGCCCACCUAGCCAACGAUGGAUAGGGGUUCUGAGAGGAAGGUCCCCCACAUUGGAACUGAGACACGGUCCAAACUCUACGGGAGGCAGCAGUGAGGAAUAUUGGUCAAUGGACGAGAGUCUGAACCAGCCAAGUAGCGUGAAGGAUGAAGGUUUAUGGAUUGUAAACUUCUUUUAUAAGGGAAUAAACCUCCCACGUGUGGGAGCUUGUAUGUACCUUAUGAAUAAGCAUCGGCUAACUCCGUGCCAGCAGCCGCGGUAAUACGGAGGAUGCGAGCGUUAUCCGGAUUUAUUGGGUUUAAGGGGAGCGCAGACGGGGGAUUAAGUCGGUUGUGAAAGUUUGGGGCUCAACCUUAAAAUUGCAGUUGAUACUGGUUCUCUUGAGUGCAGUUGAGGCAGGCGGAAUUCGUGGUGUAGCGGUGAAAUGCUUAGAUAUCACGAAGAACCCCGAUUGCGAAGGCAGCCUGCUAAACUGUAACUGACGUUCAUGCUCGAAAGUGUGGGUAUCAAACAGGAUUAGAUACCCUGGUAGUCCACACGGUAAACGAUGGAUACUCGCUGUUGG
rnacentral:rRNA from 1 species